CAUAAGUAACGACUAUAUAAGUGUCCAAAACCGAACGUAGAUCUAUAGCUACCUCCAGUGCAUUCAACGUAUUACAAAAGAAUUUAGUAUUAUACGGUAGAAUCUGAUACAGUGCUGCAGAAUGAAGAGAUUCCUUGUUCUUCUGCUCAUCGGCCUAGUGUUGGUGGAAGCCUUUGCCAUGCGAAGUGGUGACAAUGGAGAUAAAGACGAUGAUAACAAAAACAAAAAUAGUGAUGAUGACAAAGAUAAUGGAGAUGGCAAAGAAAGUGGCGUAAAUCGUCAAAGGAGAAGCGCAGAUGACGGCUCUAAGAGUAAGGAGAAAGAUGAUGAUGGAAGAUAAAGAGGAAAUCGCCUCACUGGAAAGAAGAAUGCUGAAAUUGAAAAGAAAAUGAUUCAUGAAUUAACUAAAAGAUCAAUCAACUUCUUCAUAUUGACAAAGCAUAUCAUUGAUGCACCUCACUGUAUCGUAUUGUUAUAAUAAGUCCAUUGUAGAUUUGUGGACUGGUGUACCACUUUAGCUUAUCUAUGUAGUAUGUAUUUUGUAUUCCAUAAUAUAUGUAUGGAUAAAAUGUGAAUUACUGAUAUGCUGGAGGAAACCAAAGUUCUUCUUACAGUUGUCAGCUUCCCUUUACUACUGAAGUACUAGCUUUAUUCAAAUGUACAAUUAUCUGUAUAUUUGAGACUGUGCAUAUUUGUUCUAGAACAGCUAUCUAUUGAUGUAUUUGUUUUAAACAUCUAUACCAUGAAAUAUUUGGACAAAAUACAACAAAUAAUAA